CUGAGCCACCUCUCCAGUUCUAUGCUUUUCAUUUUUAAAUAGCAUUUCAGUUUUGCAACUUUUCCUUAUAAAUAAUGAGCUAUUGUGUUUCUUCUCUUUAUUUUUGAAGAAGUUACAUCCACACCAUGUAAGACAAAAUGCACAGCGAGUUUGGAGGGUUUGAGGGGUGGGUGGGUAGGUAACAGUAACCACUCUAUAGCACAGAAGUCCCUUGUCAUAGUAACCUGGCUAUGCUAGUUUAUCUCUGUUGUAUUUCACAACCUUAGUAUAGUAUCACUUAAUAGUAUCACUUUCAUGAGAACAUGCUUCACACUUAUGAACAAGCAUCCUGAAGUCAUAAAAACAAAAGCAUUAUACUUACACUAUAGAAAGAUCUACUGCAGGGGACGGCUAGUCAGUAAGUAUACACAAUUUUAUUCAUGUGCAUGUUACUGCACCAUGCAAAUAGAGUAACACCAAAAUCUCACUCAGCUUUGGGAUUUGAAACCUAUGUGCUAGAACCUAUAUGCCCCUUGGAUGCUGACCAUUGGUCUCCUGUUCACAGAGCAGAGGGAUCUGACAAGAACCUGGGAUGUCAUCUGUGGAGUGUGCUGCUCUAUUCACAUCACAGCAGAACAGUUCUGAGUGAACCAACUGUGAGGCGCAGAGGAGAAUGAAGACCAGAGUUCUGGACUUGGGAAUGAAAGGAUGGUGACUCCUGACUACAAUCCCAACACUCAAGAUGCUAAUACAGGACUGCUGCAAGUUCAGAGCUAGCCUCAGCUACAGUGAGUUCCAAACCUACCUGAAUGACAGAGUGAGACCCUAUAUCAAAAACACAGGGAAGUACCUGCCACAAGCACUAUCUAAAUUCAAUUUCCAGGAAAAACAUGGUAGAAGGAAAAGAAUGGACGAACUUCUAGUCUGUCCCUGUCUGUCUGUCUGUGUCUCACGUACACAAACAUAUACAUAUAAAUAAGUAAAUGUAAAAAAAAAAGAAGUUCAAAUAUUCUCUAUCUGUGUCUUGCCACAUCAUUGACUUCCCUAAGCUCUGUCUUCUCUCAGCGUCCCCUCUUGUAGUUGUAAAGAUAACAGCAUAUGUGAGAAGGGAGGACACUCCCACAUGUUAUUAUGAUACAGUACUAGUUAUAUAUUCCCAAAGGGAAUUAAAAUGGUGCUGGAAAUAUGGAACUAGAAGUCAAAUUUUCAACCUAAUAGGAAGACUUUUAGGGAGACGGUAGCCUGGGAACACUGCUGCACAGGCCACAUGUCCUGGGAUGAAGGCUCCAUGAAAUUGGCAAGUUUUUCUAGUAGUCUCUGUUCGUGAAUUACAGAGAAAACCUUAUUUACAGGAGCCCUAAAAUCUCUAUCCCCAUAUUUAUUUGUCAUCCUCUUAAGAAUGACUAGUAUCAAGAAUAUUGUUCAUACAUAUGAAUUCCAGACUGUACCUACAUGUUCCCCCUGUCAAAUUAAUGUCUGUUUUUACAGGACACUUACAGUUUUUGAGCAUCUAUGAAGUAGCAGCUACUGGAUACACUGUUAUAACUAAGUGCACAGGAGGGGCUGCUGACUCAGCCCAGGCUCCAUUCCUGGGACCCACACAGCAGAAGAGGCACCCUCCUGCACAAUGUUCUCUGACUGCCACAUGUACAUGUGCAUAUCAAUAGUUUUAAAAAUAUUUAAUGUUCACUUAUGACAAUAGGACUAUUACAGUCAUAUAAAAUAUACAGUAUUGUUUAUAGCUAUCAGCUAUGACUAAAUCAUAAAUGUUCCCAUUUUAUUGUCUUUCUAUUAUUUCUGAUGCCAUUUAAAUCUCAUUCUUAUUGUAAUUCUGCCCAUAAAUUUUCCUAAAAUUUAAAAUAUUAAAAUUAGAAAUUAAUAUAUUAGGGGAACAAUUAGACAUUUCUAAGUAACCUGUGGUUUGUUUUUUUUUUUUUAAAUCAUAAUGGUCCCAGCACUCAGUAUAGGCAGGUAGAUCUCUGGAGGUUUGAGGUCAGCCUGGUUUUUAUUGUGAAUUGCAGGGCAGCCAGAGCUACAUAGAGAGAUGCUAUAUAGAGAGACAAUAUCUAAAAACAAAUAUCUAUAUCUAAAAUAUCUAAAAACAAAAGCCCCCAAACUCACCCCCUAAAAUGAAAAUACUGAGGGAAGUCAGAAGACAUGUAACUUGUUCAGUGUACAAAUUUUAUUAGCCAAUCCUGCUGAAAUCAAUCUGGGACACCAAGGACUGCUGGAGUCCACAGGAAUGACUAAAGCACAGAGUCUCAUCAGGCUCCUAGGGUACUAGAGUCUGGUCAAGAGUUUAGGUGGGUGGUCCCGAUCCUCCCAGGGCCACUGUUUUCCGAUCCUGGUUCCCGGACCUU
rnacentral:sRNA from 1 species